rnacentral:rRNA from 1 species
AGAUGGAUUAGUGGCGCACGGGUGAGUUAUGCAUAGGUAACAUGCCCUUUAGUCUAGGAUAGCCACUGGAAACGGUGAUUAAUACUGGAUACUCCCUACGGGGGAAAGAAUUUCGCUAAAGGAUUGGUCUAUGUCCUAUCAGCUUGUUGGUAAGGUAAUGGCUUACCAAGGCUAUGACGGGUAUCCGGCCUGAGAGGGUGAACGGACACACUGGAACUGAGAUACGGUCCAGACUCCUACGGGAGGCAGCAGUAGGGGAAUAUUGCUCAAUGGGGGGAACCCUGAAGCAGCAACGCCGCGUGGAGGAUGAAGGUUUUAGGAUUGGUAAAUCCUUUUCUUAUUAUGUAGAAGAUU